GGGCACAUGGUGUAGUUGGUUAUCACAUCCGCUUAGCAUACACCUCGAAGCUUGCGGGGGGUGCUGGGUUCAAUUCCCAGUGUGUCCA